rnacentral:tRNA from 1 species
GUCCGGGGGUCGGUGGAAGGCUGGUUAAACCGUUUGGUUUUCGACCACUACGACCCGGGUUCGAUUCCCGUAUUGGACA